rnacentral:tRNA from 1 species
GUGAGCGUAGCUCAGUUGGUUUAGAGCGCUGGAUUGUGGAUCCAGAGGGCGGGGGUUCAAUUCCCCUCGUUCACCCCA